UGAAGAUCAGAAAGUUACAGACAAGAAAAGUAUUGCUUAUUCUUUUCAAAUGUAAAAGAAAUCUGUACAGAAUAAGCGCUGAAAAAUGUGUAUCAUUUUUAACAUCAUGUAUUAAGGCCCAUUCCUUUCCUUGUGGAUAAUUGUUCCUUUAAUUUAAAACAAUGGCCACCAUUUGUUGUUAGACAUCCCUAUUUGCUCAUCUCACUUAGUGGAGAGGCAAAGCUGACUCUGGAAAAUCAGAAAAAUACAGAGGAUUUUUGGACUUCUGAUGAACUUUAAGGGGAAACAUAGAAUGCUUGCCUGUGCACCAAACAAGUGUUCAGUGGAAAUCACACGUAUGAGAAGGAAGUCAAUGACCCUCCUGCUAAGGAGAGUAGCAGCCCAACUGGCAGUCUCAUCAAGCCCAUCGCAGUUCCUUCUAAAAUUACAUAACCUGGGAAUACACGUACCACAGCAGUCAGUGCUGUGAACAGAAUAAAGUAGGUGAGACAGCAGGAGCUGUAUCUACUGACAAAGAGAAGCGGAGCUCCAUCUUCUCUUGACAUAAAUACAUUACUGGUCAAUUUUCAAAUAGAACAUGUAGAGCUCCAAUCUAAAGUCUGAACUCUUCAAUAACAAUAAAAAGUAAAAAUUAAA
ensembl:lncRNA